GACGUAGGGUCCAAGCGUUUGUCCGGAUUUACUGGGCGUAAAGAGCGCGUAGGCGGUCCGUUAAGUGUAGAGUGAAAGCUCCGGGCUCAACCCGGAAACUGCUCUGCAUACUGGCGGACUCGAGGAUGGAAGAGGUUUGUGGAAUUCCUGGUGUAGCGGUGAAAUCCGUUGAUAUCAUGGGGAACACCAAAAGCGAAGGCAAUUCGACUGGCGCAUUCCUGACACUGAAACACGAAAGCGUGGGUAGCGAACGGG
rnacentral:rRNA from 1 species